UGGACUGAACAGUGACUAGAAAGUUCUUC
rnacentral:piRNA from 1 species